UUCCUACGGGGGGCAGCAGUGGGGAAUAUUGCACAAUGGGGGAAACCCUGAUGCAGCGACGCCGCGUGAAGGAAGAAGUAUUUCGGUAUGUAAACUUCUAUCAGCAGGGAAGAAAAUGACGGUACCUGACUAAGAAGCCCCGGCUAACUACGUGCCAGCAGCCGCGGUAAUACGUAGGGGGCAAGCGUUAUCCGGAUUUACUGGGUGUAAAGGGAGCGUAGGCGGUGAUGCAAGUCAGAAGUGAAAGCCCGCAGCUCAACUGCGGGACUGCUGUUGAACCUGUAUGCCUAGAUU
rnacentral:rRNA from 1 species